GAUGCCUCCAGAAUAACCAGAAGGUGAAACUGUGAUGGAAUACCAUUUGGUUCAGACAGAGGCGGAUAGAUCUUGAAGCAGGUUGAGAGUGUGGAACAGAAAUUUAUUGUUCCUUUUCCUACCAUAGUUUCAUAUAUUU
rfam:Morus notabilis contig2011, whole genome shotgun sequence.